UUGAACGCACAUUGCGCCCUUUGGUAUUCCAAAGGGCAUGCCUGUUCGAGCGUCAUUU
rnacentral:rRNA from 1 species